AAAUAUUUCUGCAUAUCUUGAUGGAAUUUUAAAACCUCACAUGGAAAAUUUACCUUCUUACAUUAAGGACUCUGCAGACUUUAUUACUAAACUCAAAGCAGUCCCGAAGUUAAAGGACAAUGCUUUUUUAGUAACUCUUGAUGUAAGUUCACUUUACAGCAAUAUUCCUCAUGCAGAUGGUAUUGACGCUUGUAAAUUCUUCUUGCAACAGAAUGGUAAUACCAAAAGCAAGCUUUCUAUUGAAUCUAUUUGUGACUUGAUAAAUUUGGUUUUAACAAAAAAUCAUUUUCAGUUUGAUGGAGAAAACUUUCUGCAAAUUCAUGGUACUGCUAUGGGUACGAAAAUGGCUCCAAGUUAUGCUUCAGUUUUUAUGGGCAAGCUUGAAUCAGAUUUUUUACAAACUUGUCAAUAUAAACCUCUCAUAUGGUUUAGAUUUUUGGAUGAUAUUUUCUUUAUCUGGGAGCACAGUUUUGAUAAGCUUCAGUCGUUCAUAGAAAAUUUAAAUAGUUAUCAUCCGAGCAUAAAGUUUACCAGUAGCAUCUCUAGGGAAACAGUAACCUUUUUGGAUGUUGAGAUAUAUAAGAAUGAUGGCGGUAUUAUUUGUACAAAGGUUCACGAAAAACAAACUAAUAUCCACCAGUAUGUAGAAUUUUCUUCUUCUCAUCCUAUGUCUUGUAAAAGGAGUAUUCCCUCUAAGUCAGGCAAAGCGUUACAGACGUCUUACCUCAGAUGAUAAUUCUUUUGUACAGGAACUGGAGAAAUUAAAAACUUUUUUUAUCAAAAGAAAUUAUCCCAUGUCGAUAACUGAUAAGUGUUUUGAUAAAAUAAAGUCAAUGUCUAUGGAUGAUGCACUAAUUAGUAGUAAAACAGAUGGCACUUCUAAUAACAUAAUUCCUUUUGUAUGUACAUACAAUCCAUCUCUACAUAACAUUGGGGAGGUUUUGAAUAAGUACUGGAAUUUAUUACAACUUUCUAAUAGGCAGAGUGUUCAGUACCUUUCUAAAUUCAAGCCUAUUGUUGCUUACAAGAGACCUACUAGUUUAAAUGAUAUUCUGGUUCAUUCUUCUUUUACAAGACCUAGUAGGUAUGGUCAAAUUUCUAAAUGUAAUAGAGCUCGCUGCUCACAUUGUUCAACUAUAAAUGAAUCUAAAUUUUUUACAUCUUCUGCAACUUUGAAAAACUACAGUAUUAGAAAGAGUCUUUCAUGUAGUUCCAAAAAUUAAUAAGCAUUAUAAAUGUUCAAGUUUUUUCCAGACUUUUAAUAUCCUUUUUGCUAUCUGCAUUUUCUCUGGAAAUAAUGUAUCUUCAUAGAUCCUUUACAUUGUGCAUUUCUGUAUAAUAUGUAUAAUGUUUUUGAAUGUUAAAUUACGCCAUGCUGUUGCAUACGUUUUGACGUCGUUGUUAUGACGUCAUGUUCCACAUGACGUCAUCAACGUUAUUGCUUGUAAACAUUAUACCCCUGAUGAAGGCAUUAAAAGCCGAAACUAGUUGGAAAUAAAUUAAAAACCAGUUUGAA